rnacentral:rRNA from 1 species
GAUGAACGCUGGCGGCGUGCCUAAUACAUGCAAGUCGAGCGAACAGAUGAGGAGCUUGCUCCUCUGACGUUAGCGGCGGACGGGUGAGUAACACGUGGAUAACCUACCUAUAAGACUGGGAUAACUUCGGGAAACCGGAGCUAAUACCGGAUAAUAUAUUGAACCGCAUGGUUCAAUAGUGAGAGACGGUUUUGCUGUCACUUAUAGAUGGAUCCGCGCUGCAUUAGCUAGUUGGUAAGGUAACGGCUUACCAAGGCAACGAUGCGUAGCCGACCUGAGAGGGUGAUCGGCCACACUGGAACUGAGACACGGUCCAGACUCCUGCGGGAGGCAGCAGUAGGGAAUCUUCCGCAAUGGGCGAAAGCCUGACGGAGCAACGCCGCGUGAGUGAUGAAGGUCUUCGGAUCGUAAAACUCUGUUAUUAGGGAAGAACAAAUGUGUAAGUAACUAUGCACGUCUUGACGGUACCUAAUCAGAAAGCCACGGCUAACUACGUG